UACGUAGGGUGCAGGCGUUAAUCGGAAUUACUGGGCGUAAAGCGUGCGCAGGCGGUUUGCUAAGACAGGUGUGACAUCCCCGAGCUUAACUUGGGAAUUGCGCUUGUAACUGGCAAGCUAGAAUAUGUCAGAGGGGGGUAGAAUUCCACGUGUAGCAGUGAAAUGCGUAGAGAUGUGGAGGAAUAACAAUGGCGAAGGCAGCCCCCUGGGAUAAUAUUGACGCUCAUGCACGAAAGCGUGGGGAGCAAACAGG
rnacentral:rRNA from 1 species